CUCCUCUUUGCUCAUCGGAUAACCAGCUGGUGGUGCAGUCACAUAGGGUUCUGGCACAGUGGAUGUUGACGGUGCUGGGUAUGCAGCUUAUGGAUCGUUCAAAAAGAACUAAACCAUGUUAAUAUUGUUGGUUGUUUUAUUCACAACUGAAAUACCAUGUUGAAAUUUAGAAGAG